rnacentral:lncRNA from 1 species
UGAAAAUGUUGAGGUUUUUUGAGACAGGUGAGACAACACAGGCAGGCCACGGGUGAUUCAAGUGGGGAUAGAGUUUUGAGGAUCACAGCCUCAUGGUAUUGAAACGGCUUUUGAGCAUAUGAAUACUAGAGAGAGGCAGAGGAUCCUCAAUCAUCCACUUCUGCAGAAUUCCCUGUUGACAUCCUAACCUAGGAUGUAAGACAUCCUAGCUUUCCAGCACUGACUCUGCAGGUGAAACUGCUACUUAUGCUGAGUAACUAUGGCUCUGGGCUACAUUUACAAAAGUUUACAGCAUGCUUGCUUACAAGAAUCAGCUUGUUUUAACUCGAAGUAUUUAACACUGAGCAUCUUACUCAUCAGGAAUAUCUUUCUGCAGCCUUGAUCAUUUUGCUUUCUAAUGAUUUUUCUCUCAACCUCUUAUGUCUCUGUUGCUAGGGACACUUACCAGGUGGUGUAAACUGUAUUAAUUAAUUAAAAUAUUCAUUGCUGAGUCCAUUCCCAUGUGAGAAGUGUACAUCCCACACCUUUGACUCCAGACCUGUCAAUGUCACUCAUGUUGGUGGAUGGAAUGCAAGUAGAAAUGCUGUCAGCUGCACUGAGACAGAAGCUUUGUGAGCUCUCAUUGGUUCCACCAUUGCUCUUUUUCUCUGCCAUGAAAGUUGCCUGUCCCACAUAGGGGCUGCUCUGGACCCCAGAAUGAAGAAGACUCUUGGAGCAGAGCUGCAGCUGGUCCCCACAUGUGAGGGAGACGUAAAACUAUGUUGGUGAAAGCUCCUAUGAUGUUGGGAUUGUUUGUUACCAUAGCAUAACAUAGUGAAAGCUGACUAAUAUACCAGGACAUUUGGGAAAGUCUUUGGAUGAGUUCAGCAGAAGCUGCUAUUGAAGUUUUUCCCAUUUUUAUCCAUCAUGAAAUUCAGUUUAUUUAGGAUUUCUGAAUAUCUCAAAUGAGGAGUAUUUGGGUUAUUUUUAAUAA